rnacentral:lncRNA from 1 species
GCGCUCAGAUCCUCUCCUUAUUAAAGUCAUCUCUUAGGAUCUACAAGAAUUCCAGGAGGCCAUGAGAAAUAUUACUGUGUCAGUCUACUUACUGGUGAAAAACUUAGCUGCCUAAGCUGGGUUUAUGGAUGAUGACAUUACUUAUUUGCCAUUUUUAAUUUUUUUUAUCUUCUCUCUCUUUUUUUUUUUUUUUUUAGGGCUGCAUCCACGGCAUAUGGAAUUUCCCAGGCUAGGAGUCUAAUCAGAGCUGUUGCUGCUGGCCUCUGCCACAGCCACAGCAAUGCCAGAUCCAAGCUGCGUCUGCAACCUACACCACAGCUCAUGGCAAUGCUGGAUCCUUAACUGACUGAGCAAGGCCAGGGAUGGAACCAGCAACCUCAUGGUUCCUAGGCAGAUUCAUUUCUGCUGAGCCGCAAUGGGAUCUCCUUUUUAUUUGUUUAUUUUAUUUUUAUUUUUUAUUUGCUCUUAAUGUGUAUUCUCAGCCAUUUAUAAACCAUUUGAUGCUUAAUCAACCAAACUACGUCUAUUUGUUCAACAAAUAAUGGUGCAAACUUUCUGAUUCAAAACAGGAUGGUUAUAGGACAAGUUUAAACAUCUCAACUUGGGCUCUUUUUACUGAAAUUCAGCCACUUUUCUUGAUUAAAUACUCCUUGGAUCAUUGCAUGCUUUUAGUUAAUUUAUAGAGUUCUGAAAAAGUUAAUUUUGGCUUUUUUUUUGUGCUGGUGUUCUGGUUGCUUUUAUGGGGGACUUGGAUUUUUGGAAGUUCUUUACCAGACUGAACUCAAAGUCGUUCACUUGCUCAAGGUGUGCAGCAAAGGCAGUCUACUGACAUGGGGGUGUGGUGAAGGAAAGCUCAGUGUUUAUUUGCAGAGCACUAAAGGAGGAGAAUGGGCUGUUAAUGUUCAGAAGACUAGAACUCCCUGAUGGCUUUCAGGCAGAGAUUUUUAAAGGCAACAUUAGGUGUAUGAUCAUUGGAAGUGUGAUCAGCUCAUGUGUUAUGGCAGCUGCCCAGCAGGCCUGUGGCUGCAGUGUAUCAGCUCCAGCAGCUCUUUCACCCAGCGAGAAACCAAGCGAGCUCUUGGAGAGUUGGAGAACUCAGGUUUAUUAUGCCAGUGGGCUCUGAGGAGAUUGCUCUCUGGAGUCUGAGCCCUGGAGAAGGGUUUCCACAAGGCUUUUAUGGGCUAGCUCUUCCAGGUCUGUGCUUGGCUGAUCAGAGGACUGGAGUGAGAACAGGCAGGGUUGUAAUUGCAGAGGCAACUUUACAGAAGCAGAUGUAUUGGGGAGGGGUGGUUAAGGGCAGUUGGCUUGACUUUGCUUAGUCAUCACGGCCGAGGUAUCUCCUUUCUACCUUUUUAUCAGGGCAUUUUCUCCUACACAUGAACACUUUUCUGACUGGUUGGUGAUGAAGUAAAAGGGUGAUGUUUUGGGACUUUUAUUUUAUUUUAUUUUUGUCUUUUGUCUUUUUAGGGCCACACCCACGGCAUACGGAGGUCCCCAAGCUAGGGGUCUAAUUGGAGCUAGAGCUGCUGGCCUAUGCCAGAGCCAUAGCAAUGCCAGAUCUGAGCUGCAUCUGUAACCUAUACCACAGCUUACAGCAACACUGGAUCCUUAACCCACUGAGCGAGGCCAGGGAUCGAACCCACAACCUCAUGGUUCCUAGUCGGAUUCAUUUAUGCUGCACCAUGACGGAAACUCCAAUGUCUUGGGAAUUUUAAAUUAACAAUCUUCUGGUUCCCACCAGUCUGGGGUCUAUGUGUUUGUGAUCAACAAGUAGUUAAAAUCCUCCACUGGGUUUUAGUUUCUGCAAAAUGACUCAAAGAUAUGCAUUAGAUUGUUACUUACAUCCCUGGAGGAGGAACUAGGAGUCUUGUGACUCUGUUUUUACCACUGAACUAUUGCUACUUUUCUUGCUUGACUGCUUUUCCUCUAUUUCUUCAUUUUCUCAUGUCACUAAUCAUUAGCUAUUUGAGUCUGCUCUUUGGAACUUUAGGAGGGCCUAGGAGACCAAAGGUUUUUUUUUUUGUUUUGUUUUGUUUUCUUCUUUUUAAAACAAACAAGAAGCAGGAGACAUGGAGGGGCUUGUACCCAGGAAGGCCCCACAAGGUCCUGCUGGUUUCAGUUCUUACUCCACCAUUCCAGAGUGCUUCUUUCCUGUCUCUUCCUUUUUUACUUAGUUUUACUUUUUACUUUGUUUAUCAGCAUUAAAAGUCAAUGAGAUUAAACAGACUCCCAUAUACCCACAUAGCUCUGCUUACAUGGGACACUGAUCCUGAGUGGCUGCCUGGCCUGAAUGGCCUACAGCAGGGAGUGUCUGAGCACCUGCUCUUUCCACUGAAACGUUUCUUAACCUGGAGAGGAGCGAACAGUUAAAAUGUGGAGGGAGAGCAAAGGGAACACUGCUAGCCAACAGUGUGAUCAUGUGCAGAGAGUUUCUGGAUAAGAGUUGAAUGUGGUAGCUUAAAUUUAUGACAUUUCAAAAACUCCAUUGCUAUAGCUCACUUUUGUUUCAUUUCACAGUAGAAAAACAUAUCAGACUGGUAAAGUUCUUGCCCAGACUUUGUACAUUUGGAUGCUUACGCUUAGUGACAGAUGAUACAUUUAUGCUUCUCAAGUUUUCCCCCAGGACUGCUCUUCCCUUUGCCCUCUUCCUCACUGACAGUGGCUGAGGCUCAACCAUCGACUGUUUCCCCAUUCUUCUCUUUAAGACCAGAGUCCAGAACAGUGGAUUCAGACAGUAUCAUGUGAGCUGGGAAAUAUUUGCACAGACAAUUAAUUUUUGCAUUUAUUCACUUCAAAGUAUCAAAUGAGAGGCUCUAGACUGAAGGAUAGUAGUUAUGUAAAAAGCAAAAUAGGGAGUUACUUUUGACCACCAAAGCUUGAUCCUCUAUUUUUGUCCUUCCCUGGGGGAGUAAGUUUUUCCUGCUGUAGCACUUGACAUAUUUCUGCCUUAGAUCACCGUCUCAUUUCCCUACUGGGAUUUGUUUACAUGUCUCCUUAGUCCAGUGGGUCUCAACCAGGGGAAGUUUUGUCCUCCAAGGGGCAUCUGGUAAUGUUUGGAAAUACUUUUGGUUGGCACAACUGAGGUGAGGGAUGCUGCUGGCAUCCAGUGAGUAGAGGCUGUGGAUAUUACCGAAUCCUGCAAUGCACAGGACUAUUCUCCACAACAAAGAACCAUCCCUCCCUGUGAAACAACACUUAUGACUUGAACCCAGCCAGAAGCCAGAUAGGGACUUGAACCCACUUGGUUUUUUUUUUUAAAUUUAGAAUCACUCCCCUGGUGUCUGGACUUACUGAAGUUCAUGUUCUUUGUGUCUCAGCACAGAAGGAAUUCAGCAAGAGACAAAGUGAUAGGCAGGAAAUAGAUUUAUUAAGAUAGGACACUUUAUUAAGUGGGCAGGCAAAGAAGCGCUUCUGGGUUCUGGCUAGGUUCAAGUCAUAAGUGUUUUGAGUUUCAGCUGCACAUCAAUAAUUCUGAGUUUGAGAAAUCCUGCUCUUGUCUAUGAGAUUUGAGGGCAGGGAGCCUGUAGCUGGGUAUGUGAUACAUAAUGAAUGAUAAACAUAACAGUUGGUUAAAGAACAAAGUCUUUUUACUUCUUAUCAUUUAUUUGCAGUUGCAACCAGUGGUUUGAGGGCUUGAAAUUAUGUAUUUGAUUUUUUUCUUUUCUUGGUUAGUCACUGAACGGGAAAAUCCAGAAAGAUCAAAUGAUCCAUUUAUUCCUAUGAAUAAACAUCAGAAAUACAUGAUAGAAAAGGCAACCUGAGGGGCACUGUGGGCAAGCCAGAAAAUGAAAUCCACGUAACGUUAGAAAGGCAUCAUUCAGUCUUACCUCAGCGGAUGGGGCUGGCAGUCCUCGCUCAUCAGAACAGGCAUGGUCUUUUAUCUGGGUUUGUCUUACUUAUUCCUCAGUGUGGCUUUGGGAUGUGGACCUGAUUUACGGUGCUCGGUUAUGGACAGUCGCAGGAUACACAAUGGUGGAGGGAUGGGAGGGAAGCUGUAAGCGGAGGAGAAACUUUCUACAUCCCACUUAUUCCCUUGUGAAAAGAAAUCAUGCUCUUGCUGUUUUGAGAGAAAAGAUAAAGAGCAUGGAGGAAGAGAGAGCUCGAUUCCCUGGAUCCCUCGGCCUCGCUCUGCCGUAGGCGGCUCUGUGAAAGCAAACGGCAGCAGCUGGGCUGUGUAUUUCAGAUACAGCUUUUGCUGAGAAAGUGAGCACAGGCCUGAUAACACGCCUCCACGUCCUCCAUCUAUCAUGUGUAUACUCAAAGGAAAAGUGCAGAACUCGGAAAUGUUUGCUGACGGGACUUGUGUGUAAAGAAAUUAAUGCAUAAAUGAUUUAGGAAGAGAUUAGAGCCAUCCAAGUAACUCUUUUUUUAUUUUGUUUUGUUUUGUUUGUCUUUUGUCCUUUUAGGGCCUCGCUGAUGGCAUAUGGAGGUUCCCAGGCUAGGGAUCUAAUUGGAGCUGUUGCUGCUGGCCUACGCCAGAGCCACAGCAACGGCGGAUCCGAGCCGCGUCUGCAGCCUAUACCACAGCUCACGACAACGCCGGAUCCUUAACCCACUGAACAAGGCCUGGAUCGAACCCGAAACCUCGUGGUUCCUAGUCAUUCGACGGGAACCCUAUCCAAGUAAUUCUUUGAACCUGCCCCUGGGAACUCAAGGAAGGCUGUGGAGGCUGAAGCUUAUUCCCUAUAAACAAGAAAUGGGGGACACAGAGGAGUUCCCUUUGUGGCCCAAGAACCCGACUAGUAUCCAUGAGGAUGUGGGUUUGAUCCCUGGCCUUGCUCAGUGGGUUAAUGAUCUGGCAUAGCCAUGAGCUGUGGUGUAGGUUGCAGAUGUGGCUCAGAUCCCAUGUUCCUGUGGCUGUGGUGUAGGCUGGCAGUUGCAGUUCCAAUUCAACACCUAGCCUAGGAACUUCCAUAUGCCACAGGUGCAGCCCUAAAAAGAAGAAAAAAAAAAAAAAA